rnacentral:rRNA from 1 species
AGGAGAGCUUGCUCUCUGGGUGGCGAGUGGCGGACGGGUGAGGAAUAUAUCGGAAUCUACCCUUUCGUGGGGGAUAACGUAGGGAAACUUACGCUAAUACCGCAUACGAACUGAGGUUGAAAGCGGCGGACCGCAAGGCGUCGCGCGGAUGGAUGAGCCGAUAUCCGAUUAGCUAGUUGGUGGGGUAAAGGCCCACCAAGGCGACGAUCGGUAGCUGGUCUGAGAGGAUGAUCAGCCACACUGGAACUGAGACACGGUCCAGACUCC